rnacentral:snRNA from 1 species
AGCUUUGCUCAGUGGCAGUAUCUUAGCCAAUGAGGUUUAUCUAAGGUGGGAUCAUUGCUAAUCGAAAACUUUUCCCAAUACCUCACCAUGACGACUUGAAAUAUAGUCGGCGUUAGCAAUUUUUGGUAGUCUCUACAGGGA